CGAAGAAAAAAAAAUGUUUUAGAGCCAUGUUUGAACUGAUGUCAUUUAGGUUGUGUGUAUGGUACAUGCUGGGUAAGCACAUUGUCAGAAACUAGAGGUUCUCAGCUUUCAAGUGAAGUAUCAUACAUCCAUCUGGGACUUGUAGUUGUUGUGUUAUAAGCUUUUCCAUUUGGGUAUGCUAAUUAGGC